rfam:Vibrio mytili strain CAIM 528 contig00087, whole genome shotgun sequence.
CUAAUACAGCAGUAAUGCUGUGUGACGGGCAGUAAGAAGUCAGCAGAAGGCAUAGUCCCUUAAGGAAGUACAACUUAAGGGAAGGCC